CUAGAAUCCAUCUUAUGACCCAGAAGACAGAACUAAGGCUGUCUCCCAGCCCAGGAGCAUCACUCCCCUUAGACCCAGAAGAGGAGAAAUCAACAAUUUUUCAAAUUAAAAGCCUAGCAGCACUGGAAAAAAUCAUUUCAAGUCUUCGAAGAACUUUAGGAAACGUUCUCAAGCAAAAAAAGAAGCAUUUACUCAAAGCAACCAAAUACCACAUGGAGAAACAGAGCCUAAACUAAGAAAUCAGAGCUGCCUGAGGAACCAUCCACUCACUUCCAC